UACGUAGGGUGCAAGCGUUGUCCCGGAAUUAUUGGGCGUAAAGAGCUCGUAGGCGGUUUGUCGCGUCUGCUGUGAAAACUCGGGGCUUAACUCCGGGCCUGCAGUGGGUACGGGCAGACUAGAGUGCGGUAGGGGAGACUGGAAUUCCUGGUGUAGCGGUGAAAUGCGCAGAUAUCAGGAGGAACACCGGUGGCGAAGGCGGGUCUCUGGGCCGUAACUGACGCUGAGGAGCGAAAGCGUGGGGAGCGAACAGG
rnacentral:rRNA from 1 species